GACGAACGCUGGCGGCGUGCCUAAUACAUGCAAGUAGAACGCUGAAGAGAGGAGCUUGCUCUUCUUGGAUGAGUUGCGAACGGGUGAGUAACGCGUAGGUAACCUGCCUUGUAGCGGGGGAUAACUAUUGGAAACGAUAGCUAAUACCGCAUAACAAUGGAUGACACAUGUCAUUUAUUUGAAAGGGGCAAUUGCUCCACUACAAGAUGGACCUGCGUUGUAUUAGCUAGUAGGUGAGGUAAUGGCUCACCUAGGCGACGAUACAUAGCCGACCUGAGAGGGUGAUCGGCCACACUGGGACUGAGACACGGCCCAGACUCCUACGGGAGGCAGCAGUAGGGAAUCUUCGGCAAUGGGGGCAACCCUGACCGAGCAACGCCGCGUGAGUGGAGAAGGUUUUCGGAUCGUAAAGCUCUGUUGUAAGUCAAGAACGGGUGUGAGAGUGGAAAGUUCACACUGUGACGGUAGCUUACCAGAAAGGGACGGCUAACUACGUGCCAGCAGCCGCGGUAAUACGUAGGUCCCGAGCGUUGUCCGGAUUUAUUGGGCGUAAAGCGAGCGCAGGCGGUUUGAUAAGUCUGAAGUUAAAGGCUGUGGCUCAACCAUAGUUCGCUUUGGAAACUGUCAAACUUGAGUGCAGAAGGGGAGAGUGGAAUUCCAUGUGUAGCGGUGAAAUGCGUAGAUAUAUGGAGGAACACCGGUGGCGAAAGCGGCUCUCUGGUCUGUAACUGACGCUGAGGCUCGAAAGCGUGGGGAGCGAACAGGAUUAGAUACCCUGGUAGUCCACGCCGUAAACGAUGAGUGCUAGGUGUUGGAUCCUUUCCGGGAUUCAGUGCCGCAGCUAACGCAUUAAGCACUCCGCCUGGGGAGUACGACCGCAAGGUUGAAACUCAAAGGAAUUGACGGGGGCCCGCACAAGCGGUGGAGCAUGUGGUUUAAUUCGAAGCAACGCGAAGAACCUUACCAGGUCUUGACAUCCCGAUGCUAUUUCUAGAGAUAGAAAGUUACUUCGGUACAUCGGUGACAGGUGGUGCAUGGUUGUCGUCAGCUCGUGUCGUGAGAUGUUGGGUUAAGUCCCGCAACGAGCGCAACCCCUAUUGUUAGUUGCCAUCAUUCAGUUGGGCACUCUAGCGAGACUGCCGGUAAUAAACCGGAGGAAGGUGGGGAUGACGUCAAAUCAUCAUGCCCCUUAUGACCUGGGCUACACACGUGCUACAAUGGUUGGUACAACGAGUUGCGAGUCGGUGACGGCGAGCUAAUCUCUUAAAGCCAAUCUCAGUUCGGAUUGUAGGCUGCAACUCGCCUACAUGAAGUCGGAAUCGCUAGUAAUCGCGGAUCAGCACGCCGCGGUGAAUACGUUCCCGGGCCU
rnacentral:rRNA from 1 species